GCCAGGAGCGGUGGUGCAUACCUGUAAUCCCAGCCACUUUGGAGGCUGAGGUAGGAGAAUCACGAGCUCAAAGCUAGCCUCAGCAACUAAGCAAGGCCCUAAGCAACUUUGCGAGACUCUAUCUCAA
rnacentral:sRNA from 1 species